rnacentral:tRNA from 1 species
AGACCUAUGGUGCAAUGGUAGCACACCAGAUUUUGGUUCUGUUAGUUGAGGUUCGAAUCCUCAUAGGUCUA